ensembl:snoRNA Gm25668 predicted gene, 25668
AAAGCCUAGAGGUGAUGCAGGUGUGGCUGCUGUGUCCCGUGUGUGUCAGUAGGUGGCAGAUAGGACAGGGCCAUGUCUGUGUUCAGGGUUCUGACCUGUGGACAUCUGAAUGAUUAGACGCUUAAUACU